rnacentral:rRNA from 1 species
AAAUUGAAGAGUUUGAUCAUGGCUCAGAUUGAACGCUGGCGGCAGGCCUAACACAUGCAAGUCGAACGGUAACAGGAAGCAGCUUGCUGCUUCGCUGACGAGUGGCGGACGGGUGAGUAAUGUCUGGGAAACUGCCUGAUGGAGGGGGAUAACUACUGGAAACGGUGGCUAAUACCGCAUAACGUCGCAAGACCAAAGAGGGGGACCUUCGGGCCUCUUGCCAUCAGAUGUGCCCAGAUGGGAUUAGCUUGUUGGUGAGGUAACGGCUCACCAAGGCGACGAUCCCUAGCUGGUCUGAGAGGAUGACCAGCCACACUGGAACUGAGACACGGUCCAGACUCCUACGGGAGGCAGCAGUGGGGAAUAUUGCACAAUGGGCGCAAGCCUGA